GAUGAACGCUAGCGGCAGGCCUAAUACAUGCAAGUCGGACGGGAUUGGAGAGCUUGCUUUCCAUGAGAGUGGCGCACGGGUGCGUAACACGUAUGUAACCUACCUUGUUCAGGGGGAUAGCCUCUCGAAAGAGAGAUUAAGACCGCAUAACAUUGCGAUGUGGCAUCACAUUGUAAUCAAAUAUUUAUAGGAACAAGAUGGGCAUGCGGAACAUUAGCUAGUUGGUAAGGUAACGGCUUACCAAGGCUACGAUGUUUAGGGGAUCUGAGAGGAUGACCCCCCAAACUGGUACUGGGACACGGACCAGACUCCUACGGGAGGCAGCAGUAAGGAAGAUUGGUCAAUGGGCGGAAGCCUGAACCAGCCAUGCCGCGUGCAGGAAGACGGCCCUAUGGGUUGUAAACUGCUUUUGCAGGGGAAUAAACCUUGGUACGUGUACCAAGCUGAAUGUACUCUGAGAAUAAGGAUCGGCUAACUCCGUGCCAGCCGCCGCCGUAA
rnacentral:rRNA from 1 species